rnacentral:rRNA from 1 species
UGCCGGCGACCGGCGGACGGGUGCGUAACGCGUAUGUAACCUACCUUUGACAGGGGGAUAACAUCGAGAAGUUGGUACUAAUACCCCAUAACAUCACCGGAGGCAUCUUCGGUGGUUGAAAACUCAGGUGGUCAGAGAUGGACAUGCGUUGUAUUAGCUAGUUGGUGAGGUAACGGCUCACCAAGGCGACGAUACAUAGGGGGACUGAGAGGUCAACCCCCCACAUUGGUACUGAGACACGGACCAAACUCCUACGGGAGGCAGCAG